rnacentral:sRNA from 1 species
UGAAACCAAAUUUCUUCAGUGAUGCGUC